rnacentral:rRNA from 1 species
GACGAACGCUGGCGGCGUGCUUAACACAUGCAAGUCGAACGGUGAAGCGCCUUCCUUUUUGGUGGGUGUGGAUGAGUGGCGAACGGGUGAGUAACACGUGAGUAACCUGCCCCCUUCUUCUGGAUAACCGCAUGAAAGUGUGGCUAAUACGGGAUAUUCUGGGUCUGUCGCAUGAUGGGUCUGGGAAAGAUAUUGUUUCGGUGGGGGAUGGGCUCGCGGCCUAUCAGCUUGUUGGUGGGGUGAUGGCCUACCAAGGCGGUGACGGGUAGCCGGCCUGGGAGGGUAGACGGUCAGACGGGGACUGAGACACGGCCCAGACUCCUACGGGAGGCAGCAGUGGGGAGUAUUGCACAAUGGGCGCAAGCGUGAUGCAGCGACGCCGCGUGAGGGAUGGAGGCCUUCGGGUUGUGAACCUCUUUCGCCAGUGAAGCAGGCCUGCCUCGUUUGUGGGUGGGUUGACGGUAGCUGGAUAAGAAGCGCCGGCUAACUACGUG